CGUUGGCUAACACUAACACUAAAUAGGACAACAGCAAAUCAGAGGGGACACAACCAGAGGAAGUGCUCACUCACCUAUUUCUAAUCAUGGACAUGUCUUUGGUAGAGACGGAGGGACACACAAGGACACGCAAACAGGCCAGACCUAGCUUUGACUCUGGAAGGGACGAUGAAAACAAACAAGGGCAGAGAGAAGAGCGGCUGUGGAACAGAGUUUGGGUUGUUGCCUUUCACCACAGCGCACGCGCACACGCGCGCACAGACACACAUGUAGCAUCAAAGAGGGACGCCCCGAACGCCGCACCUCUCCUUUGGUCUCUGUGUCAUGAGCAAGCCCGAAGUCAAGUGGAGGAGGAUAUUAAAACAGGAGAAGAAGAGCGAGAAGAUCAAAAUUACCAGAGCAGCAAAGCUGGAGGCGCAAAGCCCCAAUGCGUUUCCACUCUUUCCUCCUCUCUCUCAUCUGACGCCACAUGAAGCCUGGCUCAGAGCCUCGCCUGAAACGUCGCUGCAGCGGCCCAUUAGGAGCCUCCUCCGGAUUAAUUGGUGGGAGACACCGCGUAAGAAGACGAGGCGAAAACAACAACAACAGAAACCG